UACAGAUUUCGAACGGAGUGAAAAUGAAGGAAAGUUUCUUCUGAAGAAUGCGCAAAAGUAUAACAGAAAAUGAGCGGUAAUAAGUAUUUAUUACUAUCAAAUAGCACAUAUGUAUUGGAAAAUAGACGCUUGAAAAUGAGAAAUCUCAAUUUAUAUUUCAAUCGAAUAUUAUCUCUUUGACCUAAACGCAACAUUUUACUUUAGCGAGUGAUUAAUUAAUUGAUCGAUAAAUUUCCAAUAAAACUACUGUCAAAUUUUAAAAUAUAUUAUGUAUUCUUUACGAAACUACUGGAAGAGAUAUGUGUCUAUUAUUGGUAAUUAAUAAAAAAAGAACUUUCUUUCGCAAGCUAAAAGAUUCCGCCCUGAAAGUAUUAACAAUGAGUGAACAAUCUCCAUCGCUGGGAAGAUCGUUUAGGAGGAUCGGAGGGUGACGUAACAAUGCGUCGCGUCGGCCGAGGGAAAGAAAAAGGGAGGCAUAAUAAAACCUCGUCGAGUCUACGGUUAUAAACUGAAUCCCUGGGAUAGUCCAGGUUAGAAGCCGGACGUUUUUCUGGAACGCGGACUAAAAUCCAUAGGAAACGGGGAAAAGUGGUUGCAGACAAACGGAGUCUAAACAUUAAAAGAGAUCAUCUCGGCAUAAAAGAACUUUCUAUCGAAUUUACGCGUCACAGAGAUGCGAUAUAUGCGGCAACGAAUAAUUCCUUCGGCAUUUGGGGUAAUUCGUGAAAGUGGUACCGACGUUAACGAGAAAACUUGGCCCACGUGAAACAACCGGAGAGAUAGAUGCUUAUGUUUGAACUUUUAAUUCCUACUUAUAACUUUACACUACAUUCAUAUUGCCAGAAGUAAAAAAAUUAUCGGCUUUAUCGGAUAUGCGUUCGAGUUAAACUAUCUACGUUAGAGAAAAUAGAAAGCGCUUUAGAAUAUUUAAUGUUGGUCUAUAUAUGCUGAAGAAUAAGUAAAAAGCAAUCCAAAAAUAGUAAAAGUAUCGAUGUGUAAAACGAAAUGGGAAACUGAAAGUGGACCUAUCAAUACUUAAUUGUCUGAUAUUUUCAUAAAAUGCAAGCUGUAGUGAUUAAAUCAGGAUCUAUGUUGUCUAAGCUGUUCGAUAACAUUAAAUAAUUCAUCUAUGAAGACUGCGUCGAUCAAUUUAUUGUACAAAGUAGUAGCGUAACGCAAACCAAUUGUAUUACAGAAGUGUUAAUCGUAAAUUGCAUUCCCCUUAUACAGAGUAUCUUCGUGUGAAGGAAGGAACAGUAAUUAUUCGCCCCGAACUAAUCGUGAUAUUAUUGGUUGUUAAUAGUGUUUAUACAAUGAAGCCAUAAACCAUCCGUCUUAUGCGUUCUUUGUUCGUGUAAGUGUAUUACAAUAACUUGUUCCGUGCUCGAAUCAUUAAGAAAUCUUUCUACUAUCAUCGAUCAAAAUAAGACGCUAUGUGACUAACUACGCUAAUCUCUUUUACGAAUAUAGGUAUCUACAUACAAUGUCAUUUUUUGUUUAUUAAUUUACAUCUUUACUUAAGGGGAGAAUUUUCAUCUGAACUAAUAUAAGGUCGCUUAAAAUAUUUUAUUUACGUAAAUAAUUUAUUUUGCGUAAGAUGUUUUACAUCCUGUAAUAUAAAACCCAUUUCUCUACAACAGAGAAAAUAAAUAAAUUAUUUUAAUAGAACGUAAUUAUUAUUUACGUAACGAUAUUAUGCAAAGAGAUAUGCAACAGAGUCAUUCGUCGAUAAAUAAAUUCGUCCGAAAAACUGACU
rnacentral:misc_RNA from 1 species